CAGAUAGCGCCACCAUGUCAAAAACUGAGUAAAUUUGAACUAAUUGCAAAAAAACCCUGAUUAAGAGGAGUAAUUUGACAAGUUUUGAAAUUGCGUCGUCCGUUUAAGACUCUUAUCUUUUGUUAUAUGUUUCAUUUACGUCUCAAGGUGUAUCAAUAAAGAUUUUCAGAAUUCAUUAUUGCUAGGAUAGCUCAGGUGGAAAGUGCUAGUAACUGUUUAUAGGAAUAUUUUGUGUUUCUUUGUAUCUCUUUUUGUCUUACUGAGUGCAAAAUCUGUUCUUAGUUAAUCCUUGAUCUACUGUUAUUAUUUUUUAAAUGUUUUUGAUUACAGUGGCACUUAACCCCAACGCACUUAACCUUAAACCAUGGAUUUUCUCUUUCAGAAUGUUUCUUUCAAAGCUUCUUACGCUCAAGCUACUCAACAAUCACAAUUCCAUACACGAGAACUAGCAGUCAUAUUAAACUCCAUGAAAGAUACUUGGAUUCAAGAAUUCAAUGUUGAAGUUGUCAACUAACUGGCCCAUCGAAUAUUAAAUUUAUAUUUAGAAUUUCUCAAGGCUGAGUUUGUUUAUACUAGGAUAAUAAGGACACGACUGACAGGUUAACUGAUAAUCAUACGGAAGUAAACAUUAAAUCUCAUUUCUUGGGAAUUUGAUGAAUCGUUUUUAAAUCUAAAUGCAUAAUAUCUUGUAACGUCUGUCUUAUUUUGCAUAGUAUUAUUAGAAUCAUUGUCCAGAUCAUCUUCAAGAACUGGUUGAAAUAAUCCAGGCCACACAUAUCUUGAGCUUUUGUUGCCAGAUGUAUAUUCAAUCUGAAGACAUUCCAAACGUACAUAAAUCCAUCUAAAUAAAUUAUGAUAAUACAUCGUAUUGGAUAUAUCUAUUAGCAGAAAAAGUAGUCUGUUCCUUAUGUAGGGAAGAAAAUCAAGUGGUUAUAUUUUGUAAAAACUUUGACCUCCAGCCAUUACUUUUACACAAUUCUAGAUCAUGUCACAAAGAAAUAAUGUUCCAAUCGUGCAAGAACAAUCUUUUUCUUAGUUACCUUCAUUCCAGAUUUCUGCUACAUCAUUACCUCUGAUACAUAAACUGCAAGCUGAAAAUAUUAGAAACUAUGCUCUUGCCACCACCAAGAUGCAUCAAGAGACAGCUUAUUAUCUUCAGCUCUUUCAACAACUCUUUUAGUGAUUUGAAUGUUCAAAAAUGAUAGUAGACAUAAACCAGUUGUUUCUACCAAAGAAACCAGGAAACGCAAAAUAGCUAACAGAGCAGACUUCCUUAGAAGAUAUCUUUUUGCUACUGCUGCCUGUCAAAGAUUAAAUCUAGGAUCCUAUUCAAAAUCAUCCAGUGAAUUUUCAAAGUGAAUUUUAACUUGAGAUAAAAAUCCACAUCACGAGAAUUGUCAAAUGCCUCAACAGUUCCUAUCCAAAAGAUGUUAUGAGCGAUGAUUUCUCUGUUCUGACAGAAGACUAAUUAGAUUAAAGUUAUUUAUAUUUUCAAUUAUUUUAUAACGUGGUUUUCAGGCAAAUUACUAACAUCAAAUCUCCUGACAUCUUAAUUGAGCUAUCCAAAUUUGAACAUAUUAUUUGAACUAUAACUCUUUGUGUAAAUAAUGUAAAGCCAGAACUGGAUAUAUUUGUCUGCUAUGUAGCUCCAGGCUUCACUCUUAGACAAGAUCAUUGGGAUCUAAUUGUUUAAAAUAUGGACACUAAAUCAACUGCAUUCUAGCAGAUGAUUUUAAUGCUUAUCAUUCUAAUUGGAAUUGCACAUACAGAUAGCAGUGGUAGAAGAUUUCAUAAUGCCGUGAAAAUUGUUGAUUUUCUAUUACACAAUGACAACUCUUGUACAUAUAUUAAGGUACACAAAACUUUUAUUUGCAAUAUUGUUCUCUUAUUCCCUACUAUGAAUAUUUGUGACAAAAUUGAUACAUUUGUAUACGAUGAAACUCGGAGUUGUGAUCACUGCCCUAUUUGUUUUAACAUUAAUAUACAUAAAAACUGUUUCGAGAAAGAUUAAACAAUAAAGACAUAAACAUAUGUAUAAUUUAUUGGACUGAAUACAGUGAUGCUUCAUCAGUAAAGGAAUAUAAAUAUAAUAAGAAUAUGAAAUAUAAAAUAAGAAUAUAAAAA